AUUGAACGCUGGCGGCAGGCCUAACACAUGCAAGUCGAACGGUAACAGGAAGCAGCUUGCUGCUUUGCUGACGAGUGGCGGACGGGUGAGUAAUGUCUGGGAAACUGCCUGAUGGAGGGGGAUAACUACUGGAAACGGUAGCUAGUACCGCAUAACGUCGCAAGACCAAAGAGGGGGACCUUCGGGCCUCUUGCCAUCGGCUGUGCCCAGAUGGGAUUAGCUAGUAGGUGGGGUAACGGCUCACCUAGGCGACGAUCCCUAGCUGGUCUGAGAGGAUGACCAGCCACACUGGAACUGAGACACGGUCCAGACUCCUACGGGAGGCAGCAGUGGGGAAUAUUGCACAAUGGGCGCAAGCCUGAUGCAGCCAUGCCGCGUGUAUGAAGAAGGCCUUCGGGUUGUAAAGUACUUUCAGCGGGGAGGAAGGGAGUAAAGUUAAUACCUUUGCUCAUUGACGUUACCCGCAGAAGAAGCACCGGCUAACUCCGUG
rnacentral:rRNA from 1 species